GAUGAAGAACGUAGCGAAAUGCGAUAAGUAGUGUGAAUUGCAGAAUUCAGUGAAUCAUCGAACCUUUGAACGCACAUUGCGCCCCUUGGUAUUCCAUGGGGCAUGCCUGUUCGAGCGUCAUUUGUACCUUCAAGCUUUGCUUGGUGUUGGGUGUUUGUCUCGCCUCUGCGUGUAGACUCGCCUUAAAACAAUUGGCAGCCGGCGUAUUGAUUUCGGAGCGCAGUACAUCUCGCGCUUUGCACUCAUAACGACGACGUCCAAAAGUACAUUUUUACACUCUUGACCUCGGAUCAGGUAGGGAUACCCGCUGAACUUAAGCAUAUCAAUAAGCGGAGGA
rnacentral:misc_RNA from 1 species